rnacentral:precursor_RNA from 10 species
UCAGCGUUUAAAUGCGAGCGUUACUGCAUAUGAAACUUCUUCGGAACAGGCCGGUUUAAAAUCUUAUCCUAUAUGGGCAAGGUUUCGAUUUCCCGGCCUCUCUCGGAGGUUUCACAUGUGGCACGCUACUGUCAGCGUAACUUGUU